rnacentral:rRNA from 1 species
AUGAACGCUAGCGGUGUGCCUAAGAUAUGCAAGUCGAGCGAUUUGUAGCAAUACAAGUAGCGGCGGCCGGCUGAGUAACACGUGCGAACCUACCCUACACUUGAGAAUACCUUGCCGAAAGGUGAGCUAAUACUCAAUAGUUAUCUUUUGAUUAAAGGGCGUAACUGCCCGGUGAAGGAGGGGCGUGCGGACUAUCAGGUAGUUGGUAUGGGUAACGGCCUACCAAGCCUAUGACGGUUAGCUGAUCUUUGUCGGAUGGACAGCCAGAGGAGCACUGAGACACGGGCUCCACACCUACGGGUGGCAGCAAUUAGGAAUAGUUGGCAAUGGGCGAAAGCCUGACCACGCGACACCGCGUGUAGGAAGACGCAUUAAUUUGUGUAAACUACUGUGGAGGGAGAAAAAGCUCGGUGUAAACCGGGUUGAUGGUACCCCUCUAGAAAGUGUCCGCUAACUGCGUGCCAGCAGCGGCGGUAAUACGUGGGACACGAGCGUUAUCCGGUGUGACUGGGUGUAAAGGGUGUGUAGGUGGCCUUUUAAGUUACUUUUCAAAGCUUUCCGCUUACCGGAAAAAAGGAGAGUAAUACUGGGAGGCUUGAGUUUUCUUUAGGGAAAUCGGAAUUGAUGGAGGAGUAGUGAAAUGCGUUGAGACCAUCAAGAACACCAGUGGCGAAGGCGGAUUUCUGGAAGAUAACUGACACUGAGACACGAAAGCGAGGGGAGCGAACCGGAUUAGAGACCCGGGUAGUCCUCGCUGUAAACAAUGCUCGCUGGCUGCAUUCAUCCCCGACUUAGUCGGGGGCGGGUGUGGCGAAGCUAACGCGUUAAGCGAGCCACCUGGGGAGUAUAGCCGCAAGGCUGAAACUCAAAGGAAUUGGCGGGGAGACACACAACUAGUGGAGCAUGUGGUUUAAUUCGAUACAAACCGAAGCACCUCACCAGGGUUCGACAUGUAAGAUGAAACCAUAUAGAAACAUAUGGCCUACGCAAGUACGCUUACAGAGCUGUUGCAUGGCUGUCGUCAGUUCGUUCCGUGAGGAGUGCCCUUAAGUGGGACAACGAACGCAACCUUUGUCCCGAGUUAUAUCUGUCUCGGGAGACUGCCCAUCCGUUGGAUGGGAGGAAGGAGAAGCAGACGUCAAGUCAGCAUGAUGCCUAUGUCCUGGGCGACACACAUGCUACAAUGGAACCGACAGAAAGUUGCGAAAUAGUAAUAUGGAGCUAAUCUUCAAACGGUUUCUCAGUGGGGAUUGAGGGCUGAAACUCGCCCUCAUGAACGUGGAAUUAGUAGUAAUCGCGGAUCAGCUAUGCCGCGGUGAAUACGUUCUUGUCUCUUGCACACACUGCCCGUCAAGCCAACAAGGUCGGAGGUAUCCGAAUCAUCCUUAUGGGUGAGAGGGUAAAAUCGGCGAUGGGGGCU